rnacentral:rRNA from 1 species
GAGGAGCCCAGAGCCUGAAUCAGUGUGUGUGUUAGUGGAAGCGUCUGGAAAGGCGCGCGAUACAGGGUGACAGCCCCGUACACAAAAAUGCACAUAUUGUGAGCUCGAUGAGUAGGGCGGGACACGUGGUAUCCUGUCUGAAUAUGGGGGGACCAUCCUCCAAGGCUAAAUACUCCUGACUGACCGAUAGUGAACCAGUACCGUGAGGGAAAGGCGAAAAGAACCCCGGCGAGGGGAGUGAAAAAGAACCUGAAACCGUGUACGUACAAGCAGUGGGAGCCUCUUAAUGGGGUGACUGCGUACCUUUUGUAUAAUGGGUCAGCGACUUAUAUUCUGUAGCAAGGUUAACCGAAUAGGGGAGCCGAAGGGAAACCGAGUCUUAACUGGGCGUUAAGUUGCAGGGUAUAGACCCGAAACCCGGUGAUCUAGCCAUGGGCAGGUUGAAGGUUGGGUAACACUAACUGGAGGACCGAACCGACUAAUGUUGAAAAAUUAGCGGAUGACUUGUGGCUGGGGGUGAAAGGCCAAUCAAACCGGGAGAUAGCUGGUUCUCCCCGAAAGCUAUUUAGGU